CUCUACUGACUCCAUCCUCUCCUCUCCCUUGUGUCCUCGAGGCGGCUGGCGGCACCUCAGGGAGGAGGAGUGUCUAGCAUCUGCAUAUGGCCAGAUGGGCGGGAUGCGUGCAGCUUGAGCCGGACGGGCAGAAAGAUGGGGCGGCAACCUGAAGCCAUGGAUGACGGCGGUAUCGUCAGCGACGACGCGUCGGGAGGUCGAUUACAGAAGCCGGGGCCCUUUUUUUGCGGGAGCAACAAACCAUAGAGAAUUUGGUGACUGCAGGACAUAGAACAACAAGCCAUAGCGAUUUGGUCGGGGAUUUGGGUAAAGGAAGUGAUCUGCACCUUGGUGAAUUGAAGACACGAGCUCGUACUGCUCAAAACAUACAGUUUGGCUUAGAUGGAGCCAUUCUUCCGCGAACCAAAAAAGGAAAUAUUUUUCUGGGCCACCAUCAGCCGCGAUGGCCUCACUAAGCGAUAAGACCGGUUCUUCUCUUAUUGUGGAAACAGUGGGACUGUGGGAGUUCCAACUCUUCCAUGGAGUGGAUCACAGUUAUACAUUCUCUUAUUUCUGUAUAGUUUUGCUCUGGUUUAUUUUUCUUUGCUUAAAAUUAAAUUCGGGAGUCAAGUUCUUACUAUCUUUCUGAAUUCGUUAUAAGUUUCGCAUCGUGUUCUGUAUUUACAAAUUCGCCGAAUAGACAAGCAAGGCAACUGAGCUGAGGAGAGACCUGCUGAUUUGGGCUUGCAGGAGCGUGUCUCAGAUGUCUUGACUAUGAUGCCCACAUUAUAGAGAUAUAUCCGGAUUUCCCUCUUCAUAUGUUAUUCAAAAGUCGAGCUGGGUGAAGGUGUACCAUUGCAUUGGUACGAUGUGUUUACCAGCUCAUGGUACGCUUAGUAAUUUACAGAGACUUCAUGGUAGUUUUGCUGAGAAGACAAGCAAGACAUUGAGCUCAGGAGAGACUCGCUGAUUUGGACUUGCGGGAGCAUCUCUCGGAUGGGUGACUAUGAUCUCCGUGUUAUAAGGAUAUCUGAAUUUCCUCUUCAUGUUGUAUUCAAAGUCUAGCUGAGCGAAGUCUACCUUUGCACUGGUUCGUAUGUUUUUACCAAUUCUGCAGUAGGUAAAUGAGUUUUACUUGGCAUACGAAUUUUAGAUUAUAGCAUUCUAUGUCCUCGAUACACACAGUAAUUUACACAGACUUCAUUGAUGCUAUAGUUUUGUUUCUGCUUGUGCACUUGAACUCUGUUUGGUACUCUACACCUUUGUCAAAAAAACUCGAAACAUAUGAUGGUGGGCUUAUAUUUGUAUGGUAUGAUUACUAGCAGUUUAUAUAGUUCUUUGCGGCUACAGCUGGCCAUUUUUAAUGGCCCAUUGCAAACUUGCUAUUUAGGCACAAAUUCUAACUUUUGAGGUAUAUGUGCUUAUAUUCUUACUUAGUGCUAGAUCAGUGUCCCAACACAAUAAUGAUAUGCCUCAUAUAAGAGCAAUAGUCUUCUCUUAGAAAAGCUGAAGCGACAAGACUCAAAAACUAACUUUAUUGAAAUGCAAAGUUUGUUCUGCACGGUUUAAGUUCGUUUUGAAGUUUAACUUUUUUUAUUGACUUGUACUUUUUAUGAGUAGCAACUUUCAUUCUAAAUAGAGAGACUGUUAAUUGAAGUGUUCCAUCGGUCUUAUUGGGAGCAUGUGGUAGAUUAUUUUUGCGCAAUACUGCUCGAUCAUGUCUAGAGAAAUUGAGAAUCAUUUUUGUAGUUUGGAAUAUAACAGGUACAUAGCUUAUGAUGUUGGUCUGAUGUUCUCUGAAAGGUGUUAGUGACAUAUCUGUUUGAGUGCAAAUUAAGCUUCACAUCGCUGAUAUCCACAAGAAUGACCUUCGUUGAAAGGCCUCUGUAGUUGUUAAGAUCACCUACUUUUCGCUGUAAUGGCAGAUGCCGACCUUGGGGUUUUGAGGAGUAUAUCGACCCCCUCAAAGGUCUAAUGAUAGUAAGCACAAAAAAUAAUCUUAAGCCAUUAAUCAAACAAAGUCAUUUAUUAGCGUGAGAAAUGCAUACACACUUUAUCUUGUACAUGCUUCUAGCAUAUAAUGUGCAUACAUUAAAAUUCUGGUUUACACUAUUAUUUGACCCCGGUUACCAAUUUAAUAUAUGCAGACUAGAAUUCAUCUAAAGCUAUGCACAUGAUCAGCUACAACCUCACAUUUAUAAGAAAAUUUCAAUAUGCUCAUAAACAGAUCAUCUUUUUUUGGCACCACACAUCCCAGUUGUACUGGAAGAGUAAUAUAAAGGUGUUUCUCUUCCAAGUUUAUGAUUCUGACUACAUGUGUACUGCUUGGCACUUGGUGAUGUUGCCAGAUUCCGAAGUGUAAUUUUACUGUCAUAUUUUAAGAGAAUUAUUUGUUGAAUUCCUUUUUAUAGUCCAGUGCCCAUUCUUAUGUGAUUAAUGUUCUCAUAUUGUUCUAUUCUUGAAGGGAUAUACUUGGAAGAACCUUGUGUUAGGAUAGAAG